rnacentral:rRNA from 11 species
AAUAAUAGCCAUCCCAAUAUCCUAAAACCACUAGGUUCUAUUUGAUCUUGAAAACUAAGCAGGGCCAGCCCUGGUUAAGACUUGGAUGUGAGACUGUCAGUGAAUAUCAGGAGCUAUAUUU